rnacentral:rRNA from 1 species
GACGAACGCUGGCGGCGUGCUUAACACAUGCAAGUCGAACGAAGUGGCGAACGGGUGAGUAACGCGUAAUCAACCUGCCCUUCAGAGGGGGACAACCGUUGGAAACGACUGCUAAUACCUCAUACUGAAGGAGGUGAUUGCGUCUGAUUAGCUAGUAGGGGGGGUAAAGGCUCACCUAGGCGACGCUCCCUAGCUGGUCUGAGAGGAUGACCAGCCAAACUGGAACUGAGACACGGGCCAGACUACUACGGGAGGCAGCGGUGGGGAAUCUUCCGCAAUGGACGAAAGUCUGACGGAGCAACGCCGCGUGAGUGAUGACGGCCUUCGGGUUGUAAAGCUCUGUUAAUCGGGACGCGGUACCGGAAUAGAAAGCCACGGCUAACUACGUGCCAGCAGCCGCGGUAAUUC